rnacentral:rRNA from 1 species
AGAGUUUGAUCCUGGCUCAGAAUAAACGCUGGCGGCGUGCCUAACACAUGCAAGUCGAGCGAGAAAGUUCCUUCGGGAAUGAGUACAGCGGCAGACGGGUUAAUAACGCGUGAGAAUCUACCCUUUAGUGUGGAAUACCUCCGAGAAAUCGGAGAUAAUACCGCAUGUGUCCUUAUAGAAAUAUAUGGGUAAAGAUGGCCUCUUUGCUAUCGCUAGAGGAUGAGCUUGCGUACUAUCAGCUAGUUGGUAGGGUAAAGGCCUACCAAGGCUAUGACGGUUAGCCGGCCUGAGAGGGUGUUCGGCAACAUUGGAACUUAGACACGGUCCAGACUCCUACGGGAGGCAGCAGUGGGGAAUAUUGCACAAUGGGCGAAAGCCUGAUGCAGCGACGCCGCGUGAAGGAUGAAGGCCUACGGGUCGUAAACUUCUGUUAACUGGGAAGAAAGAACCGUUUUUAAUAAAAACGGGUGAUGACGUUACCAGUAAAGAAAGCACCGGCUAAACUCGUGCCAGCAGCCGCGGUAAUACGAGUGGUGCAAGCGUUAUUCGGAAUCAUUGGGCGUAAAGGGUGUGUAGGCGGUAUAUCAAGUCUGUUGUUAAAUCUCCCAGCCUAACUGGGAAAAUGCAGUGGAAACUGAUGUGCUAGAGGAUGGAAGAGAGAAGUGGAAUUCUCGGAGUAGCGGUAAAAUGCGUAGAUCUCGAGAGGAACACCGAUGGCGAAGGCAGCUUCUUGGUCCAUUCCUGACGCUGAUACACGAAAGCGUGGGGAGCAAACAGGAUUAGAUACCCUAGUAGUCC